rnacentral:rRNA from 1 species
UACCUAAACAAAUUUAAAAAGUUAAGCUUUUAAAUAACUAUUAAAGAUAUUAUCCCCUUGUAGUGUAGUUUAAUAGCUAUCUACAUAAUAACUUAAUAUAAAGUAUAAUAGUUUAUAUUUUAUAAUAUGACAUUAACAAUUUUGUUUAAUAUUUGAAAAUGUUAGUAUUAGUAAUAUUAGUAUAUGUGCUAAAGGAACUCGGCAAAAAACCACUCAACUGUUUAUCAAAAACAUAGCUAUAUGAAUUAAUAUAUAGUUAUUUCUGCUCAAUGACUUAAAUAGCCGCAGUACUCUGACUGUGCAAAGGUAGCAUAAUCAGUUGGCUUUUAAUUAGAGUCUGGUAUGAACGAAAAUAUGGGUAGUAACUGUCUUAGCACAUUUUUUCGAACUUAUUAAACAAGUGCAAAUGCUUGUAAUUUAACAAUAGACGAGAAGACCCUAGAAACUUGGACAAGUUUUUGUUGGGGCGACAGAAUUACACUUAACUAAUCUUAUAAUACACGACGCGAUGUUGAAAGAAUAAGUUACUCUAGGGAUAACAGCAUAAUUUUAUUAGUUUGUGACCUCGAUGUUGGACUAGGUACUAUACCCUUAAGGCAAGGAUAUAUUAUGCUCUGUUCGAGCAAAAUUACCUACAUGAUCUGAG